rnacentral:rRNA from 1 species
GUUCCGAGCAGUAGAUGAUGAUCUGCCAAGAAGCAAUGAACAUCUUUCCUGCUGCUCAGUGAUUCACAAUGUCUGUGAGGAAAGUGAAAGGGGAAAACACCACACAGUGAAAACAGAGAUAAUUGAGAUUUGGCAAUGCUUUCUUUCACUUGAUUAUAUACUUAUGAUACAAGGUGAAAGCAGCGGCAGCUAAAUUACAAGUAAGAAACUACACAAACAGACUAGUAAAGGUAGAACCAUCUGCCAGCAAAAGCUUCCUGGAGCUACUGGACCUUCUCCCUGCCGUAGAGACCAUGGAGGCUCUCUCUCAAAAUCCACAGCCUUCGGUUCUUAGACACACUCUAUGCUCUAGGUGCCUCUCCGUUUGGGCAGAUAGGAAGACGACCGACCAAAACCCAAACAUACAAGGACAGGAAAAAAAGACAGAGCUACUGAAUGAAACAGAGUGAAAAGAGAGGGAGGAAUUGACGGGCCGAUGAACUGCCCCUGACGACUAGCUAAUCCUAACGACUAGCUAGUACCUGACGAGGGUGGUAAGCCAUGGCGGCGUUGCCCCUGUGAUCAGCCGCAGCUUCGUGGUGGCGCGGCGUGUAGGCGCCGUUGCCGGCGUCGUCGCCGACCUUGUUGUGCCACGCGGGAUGCCUCGGCGGCGUCUCGCCGCCAGCCUGGUCUUGCAAGUAGGCUGCGUGGCUGCCGGCGUGGGCGUGGUCGGCUUUCGGCGUGCUGUCGUGGUAGGCCUUGUGCCCAGCCUCGUGGACGUCGAUGAUGGGCGGCUGCCGGUACUCCGGCGCCGGCUCCGACAAGUAGCCGUGGCCGUGGUUCCCUCUGCUGCGGCCGUAGUCGUCCCGCCUGCCGCCGCCGAAGCACGAGCCGAACUCGAAGCACAUUCUAUAGGUGGCUCGUGCGUGCUGGGCCUGGGGCUACUGGUUGUGGCAAGCAGCACUAUCCUCGAACUAGCGUGGGUAUCGGUGCAGUGGUGGUGUUGAUGGCCCUGAAACUGACAUUGUUGGUGUGGUGGGUGAUAUAUAUCCGGGUGGUGUUGAUGGCCCUGAAACUAGAGCUCUUGCUGAACGCGAC